GUGCUCCCUUUGGCAGCACAUACACUAAAAUUGGAACGAUACAGAGAAGACCAACACGGCCCCUGAGCAAGGACGACACACAAAUCCGUGAAGCAUUCCAUAUUUUU